CCUACGGGUGGCAGCAGUGGGGAAUAUUGGUCAAUGGGCGGGAGCCUGAACCAGCCAAGUCGCGUGAGGGACGACGGUCCUAUGGAUUGUAAACCUCUUUUGUCGGGGAACGAAGCCGCCCACGUGUGGGCGGCUGGGUAUACCCCACGAAAUAGCAUCGGCUAACUCCGUGCCAGCAGGCGCGGUAAUACGGAGGAUGCGAGGGUUAUCCGGAUUUGUGGGGUUUAAGGGGUGCGUAGUCGGACAGUCAAGUCAGCGGUAAAAAUGCGGUGCUUAACGCCGUACAGCCGUUGAAACUGGCAGUCUUGAGUGGGCGAGAAGUAUGCGGAAUGCGUGGUGUAGCGGUGAAAUGCAUAGAUAUCACGCAGAACUCCGAUUGCGAAGGCAGCAGACCGGCGCCCGACUGACGCUGAGGCACGAAAGCGUGGGUAUCGAACAGGAUUAGAUACCCUAGUAGUC
rnacentral:rRNA from 1 species